UCUGGCCACAUUCUCAACCAUAUUUCCGGCGUAAGUCUUAGAAUUUAAAUCCUUAAAACUUUGUUGAUCUAAUUAGACAGGUAUUAAUCAAAAGAUAACCAUGCGGUCAUCAGGGAUCUAUGACUGUGGUUCGUCCAAAAAUACACACAAGACCUUUUAAAAAGCACUUCUUUUAGAAGACUAUCUAGGAGUAUCUAAAGGACUACUUAAUCUUAGCCGGAAAGGCAUACGGAUUAUUAAUGGGCCUCCCAACACUGACACUGGAAAUUAGGAUACCAUAUCCUAGAAAGGUAUGACCGUCUGUCGAUACGUACUGCAGGUUUUCCAGAUUGGUGAAGGGUGCCCGAGACCUUAGAUAUGGCCAUUGAAGCCUUCAUAUUAGUUAUUUUAUUUAUCUAUGUUAUUAAUUAUAUACUCUAACAGCCAUUAGCAAACAAUUCGAUAACUAAGUAUUUAUAUUUUUAAAAACUUAAUGCUAUACUUAAAUGACUUUUAUACAAAUACGGAGGUACAUAUAAAUAUUGUAACUAAGUAAGUACACAUGUGUGUGCAAUUCGUCUAAAUAAUUCGCAAACAUAUUUCGCAAGAGUGAACAUUAAACUAACAAAUUUGUUCAUUAAACAAAAUGUCAACAACAAAAGAA